rnacentral:rRNA from 1 species
AGGUAUUAUUAAUUGAAUUUGAUUUUUGAGUUAAAAUUCUUAAAUGUUUUUAUGGGACGAGAAGACCCUAUAGAGUUUAACAGUUUUCUUAUUUGUUGUUGUUUGUUUAUGUUUGUUAAGUGGGAUGUACUGUUUUGUUGGGGUGAUGAGAGGAAAAUGUUUAACUCCUCUUUGUUUUUGUAUAUUUGUUUAUAUAUUUUUGAUCCAUUUAUUUUGAUUAUAAGAUUAAAUUACCUUAGGGAUAACAGCGUUAUCUUCCUUGAGAGUUCUUAUUGGCGGGAGGGUUUGCGACCUCGAUGUUGGAUUAAGGUUAAUUUUCGGUGCAGGAGCUGGAAUAGGUUAGGUCUGUUCGACCUUUAAAAUCUUACAUGAUCUGAGUUCAGACCGGCGUGAGCCAGGUUGGUUUCUAUCUAUAGAAUUUAUUUAUAUCUUAGUACGAGAGGACCGGGUAU